rnacentral:rRNA from 1 species
GACGGAGGUCCCGAGCGUUGUUCGGAAUUAUUGGGCUUAAAGCGCGUGUAGGCGGAGCCGUAAGUACCUUGUGAAAUCCCCGGACUCAAUCCGGGAACUGCUCGGUAUACUGCGGUUCUCGAGGCAGGUAGGAGGUCACUGGAACCUUAGGUGGAGCGGAUGAAAUGCGUAGAUAUCUAAGGGAACGCCUGUGGCGAAAGCGGGUGACUGGGGCCUGUCCUGACGCUGAGAACGGCGAAAGCGUAGGGAGCAAACGGG